rnacentral:rRNA from 1 species
UUCCGGUUGAUCCUGCCCGGACCUUACUGCUAUCGGGGGUGGGACUAAGACAUGCGAGUCGAGCGUCUCUAGCUAUGUUGAGACGCGGCAGACGGCUCAGUAACACGUGGCUAACCUACCCUCAGGACGAGGAUAAACCCGGGAGACUGGGGCUAAUACUCGAUAGGUGAGAAUGUCUGGAAUGAUUUCUCACUCAAAGGGCCUUGGGAACAUGCUUCCAAUGUCGCCUGGGGAUGGGGCCGCGUCCGAUCAGGUUGUUGGUGAGGUAAUGGCUCACCAAGCCUAUAACCGGUACGGGCCGUGAGAGCGGUAGCCCGGAGAUGGGUACUGAGACAAGGACCCAGGCCCUACGGGGCGCAGCAGUCGCGAAAACUCCGCAAUGCACGAAAGUGUGACGGGGCUACCCCGAGUGCCAUCCGCUGAGGGUGGCUUUUCUUUGGUAUAACUAGCCGAGGGAAUAAGGAGAGGGCAAGACUGGUGUCAGCCGCCGCGGUAAUACCAGCUCUCCGAGUGGUAGGGAUGAUUAUUGGGCUUAAAGCGUCCGUAGCCGGCUUAGCAAGUCUCCUGUUAAAUUCAGCGACCUAAUCGUUGAGCCGCGGGAGAUACUACUAGGCUAGGAGGCGGGAGAGGUCGACGGUACUUCUGGGGUAGGGGUGAAAUCCUAUAAUCCCGGGAGGACCACCAGUGGCGAAGGGUGUCGACUAGAACGCGCUCGACGGUGAGGGACGAAAGCUGGGGGAGCGAACCGGAUUAGAUACCCGGGUAGUCCCAGCCGUAAACGAUGCGGGCUAGGUGUUGGAAUGGCUACGUGCCAUUUCAGUGCCGCAGGGAAGCCAUUAAGCCCGCCGCCUGGGGAGUACGGCCGCAAGGCUGAAACUUAAAGGAAUUGGCGGGGGAGCACCACAAGGCGUGAAGCUUGCGGUUC